UACGUAGGGAGCGAGCGUUAUCCGGAUUUAUUGGGUGUAAAGCGUGCGUAGGCGGUUUAUUAGGUCUAAGGUUUAAGCCCGGAGCUCAACUCCGGUUCGCCUUAGAAACCGGUUUACUUGAGUAUGGUAGAGGCAAGUGGAAUUUCUAGUGUAGCGGUAAAAUGCGUAGAUAUUAGAAGGAACACCAGUGGCGAAGGCGACUUGCUGGGCCAUCACUGACGCUGAGGCACGAAAGCGUGGGGAGCAAA
rnacentral:rRNA from 1 species